AAGGCACGGGUCCACGCGCCGCCACGCGCACCUUCUUCUUCCUUGGGUCGCAGGACUGGUUUUUCCGGCGGUCGUUUUUCAAAUUGCCAUAACUUUGUCAUUUCUCAACGAAAUCAAGUGAUUUAAAAACGAAAGUUGUAGCCCUUGAAGAGACAAAGAGAAUGGUACCUUGCACAACACCUAGUUCGCCGUGGUUUGGCCGGAAACUUCCUCGAAAGCCUCGGAAGUCGCCGGAAACUGGGUAUUUUUCAAAUGAGUAUAACUUCUUCAAUACUCAACGAAAUUGAGCAAAACAAAAAGGAAAGUUGUAGUACUUGACGAGACGAAGAGAUUGAUACCUACCUCGACUCCUAACGCGCCGGGGAUUCGUCGGAAAAAGCCUCGAAAGCUCCGGCCAAACUUUGAACUUGUCGAUCUCCGUGUUCUUACGUCCAAAAACUUCCAACGAAGCACUCCGAGCUUCCUUGAGACCUCACUAAGCUUCCUACAAGCUUGUUUUAGCCUAAAACGUAACCAUUUAAAAGAUCAUGAACAGUGCUCUUCACGAGAAUUUUGAAACUAGGGUUUUCCGAACCAAAACUUACCUGAAAUGGAUACCAUCGUGAUCGUGGAGGUUCCAGGAGUUUGAUGGUGGUCUUAACUCCGUCGUUGGUGGAAGUUUAAGGUUGUUUUGUGGUUGGUUUGUUCGAACGGAGAAGAAGAGUGACAGAGAGAGUGAGAGAGUCGUGGGAAGAGAGAGAGAGACAGCAUGCAGAAAAUAGGGAGAGGAUUGAGGGGUGUGGGGAUCCCACGUGGUCAUUUUCCAAUCCCCAACUCCAAACCACAAAAUUUUAACCUAAAAAUCUAAGUUCCAUCCUUAUUAAUUCCAUUUUAUUGUCACAGCCCGUCCCGGAAUUUUAAUUCCGAGGACGUGAAAAGACGAAAAUGCCCUUAAACGGGACUAAGGGGCGAAAAUUUAACAAUUUGGAUUGAGUUGGACACGUGGGAUCCCCACAUCCCUCAAAACCUUCCCCAAUUCCCGUACCUUGUCUCUCUCUCUCUCCUCCCUCACGAAACUCUCAGUUCUCUCCCUCUCUUUCGAAUUCACACGGACCACCACAAAACCACCCUAAAUCUAUACCAACGACGAAUCUAAGACCACCAUUGGAACCCUGAAGACUUCACGAUCACGAUGGUAUCCAUUUCAGGUAAGUUUUGCUUCGAAAAACCCUAGUUUCAAAGUUCCCGUGAAAUGGUACUGUUCAUGAUCUUUUAAAUGGUUACGAUUUAGGCUAAAACAAAAUCACAGCGAGCUUAGUGAGGUCCCAAGGAAGCUCGGAGUGCUUCGUUGGAAGUUUUUGGACGUAAGAACACGGAGAUCGACAAGUUCAAAGUUUGGCCGGAGCUUUCGAGGCUUUUUCCGGCGAAUCCCCGGCGAAUUAGGAGUCGAGGUAGGUAUCAAUCUCUUCGUCUCGUCAAGUACUACAACUUUCCUUUUUGUUUCACUCAAUUUUGUUGAGUAUUGAAUAAGUUAUACUCAUUUGAAAAAUACCCAGUUUUCGGCGACCUCCGAGGCUUUCGAGGAAGUUUCCGGCAAAACCACGGCGAACUAGGUGUUGUGCAAGGUACCAUUCUCUUUGUCUCUUCAAGGGCUACAACUUUCGUUUUUGAAUCACUUGAUUUCGUUGAGAAAUGACAAAGUUAUGGCAAUUUGAAAAACGGCCGCCGGAAAAACCAAUCCGGCGACCCAAGGAAGAAGAAGGUACGCGUGGGGGCGCGUAGGUCCGUGCCUUCCUUGGCGCGUGGGGGCGCAACUUUGUCAUUUCUCAACGAAAUCAAGUGAUUCAAAAACAAAAGUUGUAGCCCUUGAAGAGACAAAGAGAAUGGUACCUUGCACAACACCUAGUUCGCCGUGGUUUUGCCGGAAACUUCCUCGAAAGCCUCGGAGGUCGCCGAAAACUGGGUAUUUUUCAAAUGAGUAUAACUUAUUCAAUACUCAACAAAAUUGAGUGAAACAAAAAGGAAAGUUGUAGUACUUGACGAGACGAAGAGAUUGAUACCUACCUCGACUCCUAACUCGCCGGGGAUUCGCCGAAAAAACCAGUCCGGCGACCCAAGGAAGAAGAAGGUGCGCGUGGGGGCGCGUAGGUCUGUGCCUUCCUUGGCGCGUGGGGGCGCGUGCUACAGUAAAAAAUUAUUUUAAAAAUAUGUCGACGUCCGUGACGUCGAGUAGAUCACUGUGGUAUAUUCAUAUACCCAAAUUGAGCACCGUAUGAGAAAGUUAUUAAGGAUUGUUGUUUAGGUGUUCAAAUAACGUUUUAUAGUUUUUGCAUUUAGGUGAUAAUAUGAAUUGACGAUCCGACCGUUGGAUCGUUACCAAACUUUGAUACGUUGUAAUACGUAAUAUUUGAGGAUUAUUGGAACUUACGGAUUAGGAAUCCGAGUUACGGAUCUUCCGGAAUUGGAAUUGUAAGUUCAUAAAAUAAAAUGUUAACCGUCACUUAGUUUUGGAAAUUGACGGAGAUCCGACCGUUG
rnacentral:lncRNA from 1 species